CAGUGACAUCAACACACCUUUUCUUUAGAAUGUGUGUGGGUAUCGUAUUAUGAAUAUCACAUAAUACACGGUUUAUACCACAAGUAAUCAGCUGUCACUGAAUCACGUGUUAAGUAGGAGUAGACGAAUUUGAAUGUUCUGUGGAAGUGACAUGAUCCACCUUAAGUAAACGAGAUGAACUGAAAUGAAAUAUGAGAUCAUUCUCAAACGAAAGACAGCAUAAGUGACAUCACCUUAUUUUGGAUUAUAUAAAAAAACGCAGUAACUAAUUGAAUUGAAUUGAACUGAAUUGAAACAGUUUAUUUAGCCAGAAAAAUACAGAUACAGAGUGGAUAAUAAGAGUUAGUAUAGAGGACAACGCCCAAUAACCUCUUCUGUUCAGAACUUGAGACAUCAAAAAUAAAGACAACAGUGCAAGAGUGAUGGUUAAGCUGAAGGCGUUGGUACGGGUGUGGGUAUACAAGCUGUGGGCGGUGUGUUUGUUGCAGGAGGCUACGGAGACCUUGACUAGGGGGUGGCUAGUUAUCAUGUUCAGGUCUGAGUACAUGUGUCGUGUCUCCCUCAGGAACGAUAAGUGGUGUAUGGUGCCAUCCCUCACCCAGACUAUGAUGCAUCGUCUGCCGUCUUGGAAUUGCGUGUACGAUCCAUGGUGCAACGCGUUGGUGUACAAAGAGACGACCCCACCCCUUAUAACCCGCCUUUCAAUACUGGGGUUGGCACUGACGGUGUCCCUCCUGGUGGCAUGGAGCCCAAGGAUCCUCACCUACCGUCCCUCCCACCCUUUGUUGCUUUUGG